UACGGGGGGUGCAAGCGUUUGUCCGGAUUUAUUGGGCGUAAAGGGCGCGUAGGCGGCUUGGCAAGUGGAUGGUGAAAUCCCUCGGCUUAACCGAGGAACUGCCGUCCAAACUGCUUUGCUUGAGGCCGGGAAGGAGGCGAGUGGAAUUCCCAGUGUAGCGGUGAAAUGCGUAGAUAUUGGGAGGAACACCAGUGGCGAAGGCGGCUCGCUGGACCGGUUCUGACGCUGAUGCGCGAAAGCGUGGGGAGCAAACGGG
rnacentral:rRNA from 1 species